rnacentral:rRNA from 1 species
GACAGAGGGUGCAAACGUUGUUCGGAAUUACUGGGCGUAAAGCGCGUGUAGGCGGCCAUGCAAGUCGGAUGUGAAAGCCCUCGGCUCAACCGGGGAAGUGCACUCGAAACUGCAAGGCUAGAGUCUCGGAGAGGAUCGUGGAAUUCUCGGUGUAGAGGUGAAAUUCGUAGAUAUCGAGAGGAACACCGGUGGCGAAGGCGGCGAUCUGGACGAUGACUGACGCUGAGACGCGAAAGCGUGGGGAGCGAACAGG